rnacentral:rRNA from 1 species
ACAUGCAAGUCGAGCGGUAGCACAGAGAGCUUGCUCUCGGGUGACGAGCGGCGGACGGGUGAGUAAUGUCUGGGAAACUGCCUGAUGGAGGGGGAUAACUACUGGAAACGGUAGCUAAUACCGCAUAACGUCUUCGGACCAAAGUGGGGGACCUUCGGGCCUCAUGCCAUCAGAUGUGCCCAGAUGGGAUUAGCUAGUAGGUGGGGUAAAGGCUCACCUAGGCGACGAUCCCUAGCUGGUCUGAGAGGAUGACCAGCCACACUGGAACUGAGACACGGUCCAGACUCCUACGGGAGGCAGCAGUGGGGAAUAUUGCACAAUGGGCGCAAGCCUGAUGCAGCCAUGCCGCGUGUAUGAAGAAGGCCUUCGGGUUGUAAAGUACUUUCAGCGAGGAGGAAGGUGUUGUGGUUAAUAACCACAGCAAUUGACGUUACUCGCAGAAGAAGCACCGGCUAACUCCGUGCCAGCAGCCGCGGUAAUACGGAGGGUGCAAGCGUUAAUCGGAAUUACUGGGCGUAAAGCGCACGCAGGCGGUUUGUUAAGUCAGAUGUGAAAUCCCCGGGCUCAACCUGGGAACUGCAUUUGAAACUGGCAAGCUUGAGUCUCGUAGAGGGGGGUAGAAUUCCAGGUGUAGCGGUGAAAUGCGUAGAGAUCUGGAGGAAUACCGGUGGCGAAGGCGGCCCCCUGGACGAAGACUGACGCUCAGGUGCGAAAGCGUGGGGAGCAAACAGGAUUAGAUACCCUGGUAGUCCACGCCGUAAACGAUGUCGACUUGGAGGUUGUGCCCUUGAGGCGUGGCUUCCGGAGCUAACGCGUUAAGUCGACCGCCUGGGGAGUACGGCCGCAAGGUUAAAACUCAAAUGAAUUGACGGGGGCCCGCACAAGCGGUGGAGCAUGUGGUUUAAUUCGAUGCAACGCGAAGAACCUUACCUGGUCUUGACAUCCAGAGAAUCCUGCAGAGAUGCGGGAGUGCCUUCGGGAACUCUGAGACAGGUGCUGCAUGGCUGUCGUCAGCUCGUGUUGUGAAAUGUUGGGUUAAGUCCCGCAACGAGCGCAACCCUUAUCCUUUGUUGCCAGCACGUAAUGGUGGGAACUCAAAGGAGACUGCC